UUUUACGGGAGGCAGCAGUGGGGAAUAUUGGACAAUGGGCGAAAGCCUGAUCCAGCCAUGCCGCAUGAGUGAAGAAGGCCUUUGGGUUGUAAAGCUCUUUUAGUGAGGAAGAUAAUGACGGUACUCACAGAAGAAGUCCUGGCUAACUCCGUGCCAGCAGCCGCGGUAAUACGGAGGGGGCUAGCGUUAUUCGGAAUUAUUGGGCGUAAAGGGCGCGUAGGCUGGUUAAUAAGUUAAAAGUGAAAUCCCGAGGCUUAACCUUGGAAUUGCUUUUAAAACUAUUAAUCUAGAGAUUGAAAGAGGAUAGAGGAAUUCCUGAUGUAGAGGUAAAAUUCGUAAAUAUUAGGAGGAACACCAGUGGCGAAGGCGUCUAUCUGGUUCAAAUCUGACGCUGAAGCGCGAAGGCGUGGGGAGCAAACAGGAUUAGAUACCCUGGUAGUCCACGCUGUAAACGAUGAA
rnacentral:rRNA from 1 species